AAUCAACGCUGGCGGCGUGCCUAACACAUGCAAGUCGAACGAGAAAGUGGAGCAAUCCAUGAGUAAAGUGGCGCACGGGUGAGUAACACGUGACUAACCUACCCUUGAGUGGGGGAUAACCUAGGGAAACCUGGGCUAAUACCGCAUAAUACCUACGGGUCAAAGGAGCAAUUCGCUUUGGGAGGGGGUCGCGGCCGAUUAGUUAGUUGGCAGGGUAAUGGCCUACCAAGACGAUGAUCGGUACCGGCCUGAGAGGGCGCACGGACACACUGGAACUGAAACACGGUCCAGACUCCUACGGGAGGCAGCAGUGGGGAAUUUUGCGCAAUGGGGGAAACCCUGACGCAGCAACGCCGCGUGGAGGAUGAAGUCCCUUGGGACGUAAACUCCUUUCGAUCGGGACGAUAAUG
rnacentral:rRNA from 1 species